CAGCAGCCGCGGGAAUACGAAGGGGGCUAGCGUUGUUCGGAUUUACUGGGCGUAAAGCGCACGUAGGCGGACUUUUAAGUCAGGGGUGAAAUCCCGGGGCUCAGCCCCGGAACUGCCUUUGAUACUGGAAGUCUUGAGUAUGGUAGAGGUGAGUGGAAUUCCGAGUGUAGAGGUGAAAUCCGUAGAUAUUCGGAGGAACACCAGUGGCGAAGGCGGCUCACUGGACCAUUACUGACGCUGAGGUGCGAAAGCGUGGGGAGCAAACAGGAUUAGAGACCCCCGUAGUCCCUGUCUCUUAUAA
rnacentral:rRNA from 1 species